GCAUUGGAAGAGUCCCACUAUAGGACGAAACGGCCGUCCAAUAC
rnacentral:hammerhead_ribozyme from 1 species